AACGGCGAACGGAAAGUACAUUGGCUCUCGUGGGAGAAGAUGUGUGCCCCUAAGAGGGAGGGCAGCUUGGGGUUCUGGGACCCGCAAGCUUUCAACCAGGCCCUGCUUGCCAAGCAAGCAUGGCGGCUCUUAACUUCACCAGCAUCGCUGGUUGCUCGUGUUUUGAAGGCUAGGUAUUUCCAGGACUCCUCCAUCCUUGCUGCCACUUGCCCCUCAAAUGCUUCAUACACCUUUCGUAGCAUCUUACAUGGAAGGGACUUGCUGCGGGAGGGGCUUGUUUGGAGGAUCGGUGAUGGGUCUAGGGUCAACAUACAUCACGAAAAUUGGAUCCCGAGGAACGGGUGCCUGCGACCACUAGGUCAGCAGUACCUCCAGGGAGUUACGAGAGUUGCGGAUAUGUUAACUGAAGAUGGCACGGACUGGAACGUUGCGAGGGUGGAUGAGAUGUUCUCGCCCUCGGAUGCUGCUGAUAUUAAGCAAAUCGCUGUGGGUGGACCGGGCACAGACGAUUUUUUGGCUUGGAAUUUCACAAAAAAAUGGCGCGUUCAGCGUUCGUUCAGCCUUUCACUUGAGGAUGUCUAUGGACCGAAGGAGGUUAGGACAACCAGCCUCGCCGUCCUCUGUAAACAAGCACAAAGCAUUUCUCACCCUUUGGGACACCAAUGCUCCGGGGAAGGUAAAAGUUCACUUUUGGCGUCUCCUUCAGAACGGUCUUGCUGUGGGUGCGGAGCUCCACCGUCGGCGCAUCAAAGGGGGCGUGUUCUGCCCAGCCUGUGGAAGGGAGGAGACCAUCCAGCAUCGGUUUUGGUCUUGCCCCCAUUCCCGCUUGUUCUGGACGCUGCUUCAAAGUGA
rnacentral:rRNA from 1 species